AAAAAGAAGUGGCGCUUCCCUUCCUUCCUUCCUUAAGUGAAUGAUAGGCGCGCCGCAUAGUUUUUUAAGGACCGCGUUUUAUCUUUCCUGUGCAGCCCUGUCGCUGGGCAAUGUUUGUUUUUAUUCAUAUUGAGAGAUUGAUCAACGUUUUGCAGUUGUUCACUUUCUGAGGGAAAAUUCGGUUGAUGUAAUACCAUCGUCUUGGCUGGAAAAAGUAAAUGGGCUGCAUGCAGUAAAGCUCAUCCUGAAGCAACCAACCUCACCAUGGACAAUUCAAUUGCAGUGACACUAAAGCACUGUCCACGCCAUGGAUCUCAGAAGGAUGAUGCUGCAGUGAGAGAUACAAGGGAAAUGGAGCAGGGACCUGAAGCGGAUGAAUUUGCUUGUUAAUGUUGAAUUUAACAUUUAAUAACAACAUUCUAAUGUUAUUAAAGUUUUUGAUGUUAAUAAAGUGAU